CAAAAACAUCGCCUCUUGAAUAAAAAUAAGAGGUCCAGCCUGCCCAGUGACAAAUGUUCAACGGCCGCGGUAUCCUAACCGUGCGAAGGUAGCGUAAUCACUUGUUCUUUAAAUGAGGACUAGUAUGAAUGGCACCACGAGGGUUGCACUGUCUCCUUUUCCUAAUCAAUGAAACUAAUCUCCCCGUGAAGAAGCGGGGAUACUACUAUAAGACGAGAAGACCCUAUGGAGCUUUAAAUUUCUCUUCAAACGCCAGACACAUAAACAUCUGACACUUUACAUCAACCCGACGCCUUGAAGAUGAAUUUUAGGUUGGGGUGACCAUGGAGAACAAAAUAACCUCCACGCUGAAAAGGCCUCUAAGCUUUGAGCCGAGGGCUACAACCCAACGCACUAAAAAAUUAACACCCAUUGACCCAAUAUUUUUGAUCAACGAACCAAGUUACCCUAGGGAUAACAGCGCAAUCUACUUCAAGAGUCCCUAUCGACAAGUGGGUUUACGACCUCGAUGUUGGAUCAGGGUAUCCCAGUGGUGCAGCCGCUACUAAAGGUUCGUUUGUUCAACGAUUAAAACCCU
rnacentral:rRNA from 1 species